rnacentral:rRNA from 1 species
GACGAACGCUGGCGGCGUGCCUAAUACAUGCAAGUCGAGCGAGCGGAACUAACCGAUUUCCUUCGGUAAUGACGUUAGGAAAGCGAGCGGCGGAUGGGUGAGUAACACGUGGGGAACCUGCCCCAUAGUCUGGGAUACCACUUGGAAACAGGUGCUAAUACCGGAUAAGAAAGCAGAUCGCAUGAUCAGCUUUUAAAAGGCGGCGUAAGCUGUCGCUAUGGGAUGGCCCCGCGGUGCAUUAGCUAGUUGGUAAGGUAAAGGCUUACCAAGGCGAUGAUGCAUAGCCGAGUCGAGAGACUGAUCGGCCACAUUGGGACUGAGACACGGCCCAAACUCCUACGGGAGGCAGCAGUAGGGAAUCUUCCACAAUGGACGCAAGUCUGAUGGAGCAACGCCGCGUGAGUGAAGAAGGUUUUCGGAUCGUAAAGCUCUGUUGUUGGUGAAGAAGGAUAGAGGUAGUAACUGGCCUUUAUUUGACGGUAAUCAACCAGAAAGUCACGGCUAACUACGUG